rnacentral:rRNA from 1 species
CAAAUUGAGAGUUUGAUCCUGGCUCAGGACGAACGCUGGCGGCGUGCCUAAUACAUGCAAGUCGAGCGAGCUGAAUUCAAAGAUUCCUUCGGGAUGAUUUGUUGGACGCUAGCGGCGGAUGGGUGAGUAACACGUGGGCAAUCUGCCCUAAAGACUGGGAUACCACUUGGAAACAGGUGCUAAUACCGGAUAACAACAUGAAUCGCAUGAUUCAAGUUUGA